rnacentral:miRNA from 1 species
AUGUCAGCUCAGUCAGUACACG